AACGGCGCCAAACACUUCCGGAGCUGCGGGGACGACUCUUCUGGAGGAAGCAGCGCGGGCUUGACCGGCGUCGGCCCGCCGCCUCUGCUGCCGCUUCGCCCCAAUCCGGUCCCUCUGGCCCGGCCUGACCCGGUCUGGCUUGUUCGGGCUCAGCGGCCGCGAGGCCGCAGCUCCCGAUGGAAAUCAUAUUACAUAGAAUACUUGGGUGACAUCUGCCUGAGAGAUCUCCAAGAAUUACAGAUACAAGUCCAAUUCUGCUCAACUGCUUGUUGAGGCUCGAGUUCAGCCUAAUCCAUCAAAACAUGUUCCCACAUCCCAUCCCCCUCACCACUGUGCAGUGUGUAUGCAGUUUGUGCGAAAGGAAAACCUACUCUCUCUGGCCUGUCAGCACCAGUUUUGCCGCAGCUGCUGGGAGCAGCACUGCUCAGUUCUCGUCAAGGACGGCGUGGGCGUGGGAGUCUCUUGUAUGGCUCAGGACUGUCCACUCCGUACACCAGAGGACUUUGUGUUUCCAUUGCUUCCCAGUGAAGAAUUGAGAGAGAAAUACAGGCGCUACCUCUUCAGAGACUAUGUGGAGAGUCAUUACCAGCUCCAGCUGUGCCCUGGUGCAGACUGCCCCAUGGUUAUUCGAGUACAAGAGCCUAGAGCU
rnacentral:sRNA from 1 species